rnacentral:rRNA from 1 species
AUGGCGAUUCCUCCUUCUCUUGUUCCAUCUUUUCCUCAGCAUUACACUCGUCGUUCACGACCUGUGGAUGUUUCCUUGGAUGAGUCGUCCUCUUCCUCUCAGCCUACUUAUGGCUUGCGUUCUCGUCCUCAUCCGCCUAUUGAUCGCUUUGGAUUUCCCUCCGCUGGUGCUGCUGUUCUUGAGCCGACUUCUUACCGUCAGGCUGUUGUUCAUCCUGAAUGGCAGUUUGCAAUGGCAGAGGAGAUUGCUGCUCUUGAACGCACUGGUACCUGGGAUCUUGUUUCUCUUCCUCCCGGAGUCCGUCCCAUCACUUGUAAGUGGGUCUACAAGGUUAAGACUUGCUCCGAUGGUUCUCUUGAGCGUCACAAAGCUCGUCUCGUGGCUCGUGGUUUUCAGCAGGAGCAUGGUCGUGAUUAUGACGAGACUUUUGCUCCUGUGGCCCAUAUGACCACUAUUCGUACACUUCUUGCUGUUGCCUCUGCACGCCACUGGACUAUAUCUCAGCUUGAUGUUAAGAAUGCCUUUCUUAAUGGUGAGCUGCAUGAGGAAGUGUACAUGCAGCCACCACCUGGGUAUUCUGUUCCUGAUGGCAUGGUGUGUCGUCUUCGUCGCUCUCUCUAUGGCCUUAAGCAAGCCCCUCGCGCCUGGUUUGAGCGUUUUGCUUCUGUGGUCACUACUGCUGGUUUUUCCGCAAGUGCUCAUGAUCCCGCAUUGUUUAUUCACCUUUCUCCUCAUGGCCGGACUCUUCUUCUUCUCUAUGUUGAUGAUAUGGUCAUCACUGGGGAUGACCCUGAGUAUAUUGCCUUUGUCAAGGCCCGUCUUAGUGAGCAGUUUCUUAUGUCUGAUCUUGGACCUCUUCGCUACUUUCUUGGGAUUGAAGUCUCUUCUACCUCUGAUGGCUUUUUUAUAUCCCAGGAAAAGUAUAUCCAGGAUCUUCUUGCUCGUGCUGCUCUUUCUGACGAGCGCACUGUUGAGACUCCUAUGGAGCUCAAUGUUCACCUCCGUGCUACUAAUGGUGAUCCUCUCCCUGACCCGACACGUUAUCGUCAUCUCGUUGGCAGUCUUGUCUAUCUAGCUGUCACUCAUCCAGACAUCUCUUAUCCGGUUCAUAUUCUGAGUCAGUUUUUCUCUGCUCCCACAUCGGUUCAUUAUAGUCAUCUCCUUCGUGUUCUCCGAUAUCUUCGGGGCACGAUCUCUCACCGUCUCUUCUUUCCUAGCUCCAGUUCUUUACAGCUUCAGGCCUAUGCGGAUGCUACGUGGGCUAGUGAUCCUUCUGAUCGCCGUUCACUUUCUGCUUACUGUGUUUUUCUUGGCGGUUCUCUCAUUGCCUGGAAGACGAAGAAACAGAUUGCAGUUUCCCGUUCGAGUGCUGAGGCUGAGUUGCGAGCUAUGGCUCUUUUGACGGCAGAGGUGACUUGGUUACGGUGGUUACUUCAGGAUUUUGGUGUUUCCGUCACUACACCGACUAUGCUCUUAUCUGACAGUACAGGUGCUAUUAGUAUUGCACGCGAUCCUGUGAAGCAUGAGCUCACCAAGCAUAUUGGUGUUGAUGCUUUCUAUGUGCGCGCUGCUGUGCAGGAUCAGGUUAUUGCUCUUCAGUAUGUGCCUUCCGAGUUACAGUUGGCGGAUUUCCUGACGAAGGCCCAGACUAGAGCGCAACAUGGCUUUUAUCUCUCCAAACUCAGUGUUGUUCCUCCACCAUGA